UAAUUUCUUGUUAUUGGAUCCAAGACCUGAGUUUUAUUUGUUUCUUUCGUUCUUGUUUUCUUACGGUUUUUAGGGUUUCCCCAUGCUGUUGGGAUAUUUGGCAAUUCUUGGUUCUCAAUAUGAUUUUCCCUCCUUGUUUCUUUAUUCUAUUUGAUUUCUUGGAUGAAUGAUCCGAAAAGGUUCCAUCUUUUUGACCGCUAUGAUAUAAUCGGUUGGUAUUUUUAUUGUUUUCCCUCUUUCUUUAUCUGCAUUUUAUGGAACAUCCUUGAAAAGGUACCAUCUUUUUUACCGCUAUGAUAUAAUCCGUUGAUUUUUUAUGGUUUUCCCUCUUUCUUUAUCUGCAAUUUCUUGAACAUCCUUUCUUUUCCUUGUUUUUUUGGUAACAUACUCACCCACCAGAAGCAACUUAUCCAGUAUUGUGUUCUUAGUAUUCACUCAAUUUAUAGUUUCAUUUGAUAUUUCUUUUCGUACGCAGGAACAAGUUGGUCUUCCCCCUCUCAAAAGCAAGUUGGGGUUUUGCUUUUGAUUUUGUAAAUUCUCUUUCAUUAUGGUAUCUUUGACAAAUCUUUUGUUUCUUUCUCUCUUCCGUUGAGAUUUGAUUUCUAUGUUCUCGUUCUCUUCUUGUCACGAUAUACAAUAAAUAUGGAUAUGCGACUCACGCAGACACUCUCUAGUCGGGCUUUUAUUGAUAAACCAUCAACCUAUGUCCUCACAAGUCACAAGUUCCCCUGAUUUUUUUCGCAAAUUUUUAAUUUAUUUUUUACAAGGCGAGGUUGUGGAAACCAGGGGGGUGCUGCUGUUGCAUAGUUCAUCUCGCUUAGAAUAUUGAUUCUACUGAGAUCUUCGUUUUCUUUCUUUUAGGCAUAUGGAUUUCAAUCCAGUAAAGUUGGGUACUAUAAUUGAUUUUUUUAAUAUUUUCCUUAUGGUUUCACUGAGCAAAAGAAGAAUGCUUGUUCCUUUGAUGUAAUGGUUCGCGUACUUGAAAUUUCAGGCUUUGAUGUUUCUUCAUUAUACUUGUGAUUUAGGGUUUCUACUAAUACUAGAUAUAUUCUUCUCUUUUAUAAUUUCUCCUAACCUUAUUGUAAAAGGGCUGUAUAUUCUUUUUUCCUAAAUUAAGUGUUAGUUGGUUAUUUUUGUUUCAUCUUUCAUUGUUGUUCAUGCCUAAUAUUAUGUCUGUGGAAAUUGGCCAAUGAUCGUUAAUGUUCUAUCACCGGAAAUUGUUGGAAUUGGAGGUUUUAAGUAUCAUUAUAAUCAGAAUCAGGAAGUCUUAUUCAUUUUUUUUAAAAAAAAUUGCAUCUCCUUGUGAAGACUUAACAAUUAUAUCUAAAUCAAUUUUGCUGAGAGAUUUAUGGGUCUGGCCUCUAGUCAGGCUUUAGUAAAGUCGAAAUUAGAUUUGACUCUAUGCCUUGUAAGUUGAUGAGCUUAGUUAUUAUAACUUUUUCUUUCCUUAUGUUUUUUGCAAGUCAAAAUCAUGAUGUAGCUUGCAAUGAUUGCAUGCUUCCAAGAACACAGUAAUGAUUCGGAGAAUAAGAUAUGGUAUAAGACUAGGGUCUUGUCAGUUUCAGGAUGAGUUCCACUAAAAUGAUUGUAUGACUGCGCCUGGAUUGGAUAAUAUUUCAUGAAAAUGUAUACAACGAACAACAAUAGAAGCCUUGUUGGUUUCUGCAUCUAUGUUGAUAGUUGUUGAAAUUCCAAUAAUGUCCUCCAUUUUUGUUCCCCCUUUUUUCUUGAUAGGUAAACUCCUCUGCUUGCUCAUUUUCCUUGGUAUUUUUGACAGUUGGAUGUAUUAAUUGGAAGUUGCUCUGUAUAUCAUGCUAAUUUUCUGCUGCCGUUAAAGGUAUAUUGGAUAAUUCUAAGGAAUGGCAGCUCAUAAGUAUGCUGGAACAGAAAAUAAAUUUUAAACCUUGUCAGUCAGCUUGUCGAAGCUGAUUGCUUUUUCAACAUGCAGAGUAAGCUUUACUGCUUUUUGGCUGCCUGAUAAUUCUUGCUGGUCGUCUUUUGCUCUUAGAAUGCAUGAAGGACUUGCAAGCUUCCAAAUUUUGUGCUAGUAAAUGAAACACCUGUAGCUCAUCUUGGUGGCUGUGUUGUGUUGGUUAAGGUGCCCCUUGUAUUGUUGGACAGAUGAUGGCCGUUGGUAGAAACAAUUUCCUUACUCAUCUUGUGUCUCAUCCAUUAUCUAUGUAUCUUUUACAACUUGUUUCAUCGUGGUCGUUCUUAUUAAUCAUCUGUGUGUGUGUGUGACAGAGAGAGAGAGAGAGAGAGAGAGAGANNNNNNNNNNNNNNNNNNNNNNNNNNNNNNNNNNNNNNNNNNNNNNNNNNNNNNNNNNNNNNNNNNNNNNNNNNNNNNNNNNNNNNNNNNNNNNNNNNNNNNNNNNNNNNNNNNNNNNNNNNNNNNNNNNNNNNNNNNNNNNNNNNNNNNNNNNNNNNNNNNNNNNNNNNNNNNNNNNNNNNNNNNNNNNNNNNNNNNNNNNNNNNNNNNNNNNNNNNNNNNNNNNNNNNNNNNNNNNNNNNNNNNNNNNNNNNNNNNNNNNNNNNNNNNNNNNNNNNNNNNNNNNNNNNNNNNNNNNNNNNNNNNNNNNNNNNNNNNNNNNNNNNNNNNNNNNNNNNNNNNNNNNNNUAUAUAUAUAUAUAUAUAUAUAUAUAUAUAUAUAUAAUAGUCGGAUGUUUAAAUUUAUAGCUAUAUUUAGAUAAAUUUAAAUAUAAAAUAAAUAUGAAUGGAUAUUAUUUGGUUCACCUUUUAUUUGGACCUAAUACAAUGUAAGCAUGUAACACGGGACAAAGAUAACUUUUAAUCCACAUCCACAUGAUAAGUACAAAGAACGACCUCAGAUUAGAUGUCUCCUAUAAUACAAGAAACAUCAUUAUGUACCAAUAAGUCCCCUGACAUGUGCGCAUGUUCUAUCCAAAUACCCAGGCUUGCGGAGAUUCAUUACUGCUGAGCCUAAUCCACAGGGCAAAAGGAGAAGGGUGAAAGAAGGAGGGAGAGAGAGAGGCAGGAGGAGGAGAAGGUGGCGGCCAAAAUUUGGCUUGGAAGUUACAAUCCAUUAUUAGGUACUCUAAUUUUUUCUACAAAUCCAAUCUUUAUAUAUAUAUAUAUAUACACACACCAUUGAUCACCUUUGGUAUUUUUUUUAAUUGGUUCCCAUUUUUUCACUUGAAAAUCCUAUCUUUUCAUGUAGAAGAUGAAGUUCAAAACCUUUUCAAAACUUGAUUUAAUUCAUACUUUAUUUGUCGUUGCUGGGUUUGAAAGUUCUGAAGUUGAUUCUAUAGUUGUAUUUAUUUGGUGUAGUCGGGAAUUAAGCCAUAAAAACUGCAAACAAAGUCAUCUUCUUUAGUCGAAAUGUUUUCCAAAAGAAGGACAUGAGGUUAUUAUAAAAUUAAGGAUAUGUUUGAACGUACUGCAGAAAUCUGCUUGCAAUAAAAAUCCAUAAUUUCCAUGAAAUCGUUGUAUUGAAACUUAUAUGUCGAGUAAUAUUUCUUAAAUUGAUAACUUUUCAUGCGUAUAAUCUUAGAUUUUUUUUUCCAAUUAUAGAUCUCUCUUUUAGAAAUUUUGGAGGGAAAAAUCAACUCAUCUACAUCUUUGCAAAAGUGGGCCACUUUAAUUUCACUUGAUAAAUGAUAAGUUGAUAUAGAUAGUGCACACAUAAAGAUGUUCUUAUGGUAACAAUGAGGGAAGAGGCCUGAUGGUCCACAAAGGUGAGUUGUUUUUGCGAAAACGAAAAAUAAAAUUAAAAUUUUCUUGCAAAAUUCCCAUCCUUUUCAGCAACCAGAAAUCUCGUAAGAAGAUUCAAUUUUUGGAAUUGAAAAUUUGAAAUCAAGAAGAACAAUGGAACCACGAGGUUGAAAUUAGCAACCUCCAGGCACAGCCUAAGAAAUUAACAACAGAAGAUAUGUGGUGUCAAGAAUCAAGUAGGGUCAUAUUAUGCAUAGGUACUAUGGAUCUGACGCAAGGAGAGGCAUUCCUUAGAAGCAAAGACUUGUUUGAUGCUGGCCAUGUUUAGGAAAGGAGACAAAGAUGAUUGAAACAGAUCUGAUCCACUAGAUCUUGGUAGAUGUGAUCUAUGAAUAAUGGGCCAGAAUGACUGACUCACAUAGUAGAAAUAAGACAUCUGUUUGUGAUGGUGGAAGGUGACAGUGAGAAUGACACCGAUUGAGGACUAGAGUCGACACUAACAUGGCGUGCGUAAAGUGCGAGAUUACUGGAGAUGCAUGCAUGUUAGUUAGUUGCCUCAUCAUAUGGCUUUUUUUUUCCUUACAGUAUAAGUGCAUGAUAUUUCCUUAUAAUACAUUUACCAACCCUGUUUGUACUCAUCAUUACCGAUUACUAUUUCAUAUAUCAGGAUUUCAUAAAAUGGCGAUACUUGAGAAUACGUUUGUUUUAUAGACAUGGAGAAGCUUCAGGGAAACAUCUAGUUUGUCCUAGGUUUUUUUGAAAUUUAUAUCAAUAAGUGACUUGUCACAUCGUAGAGAUAGAUUAAAAAUAAUAAGAGAUGAAAUAGUAAAACAAAAAACUUAAUAUUGCUACGUCUUUCAGAAAGUAUAGCUCGAAAUAGAGCUGAAUGAAUGAAAAGAAUUCAUAUUAAGUUUGGAAUUAAAGAUUAGUUGAAUGGAGUUGAGUCAUGACUUAGUUCUAAGAUGCUUGCAUCGUUCACACGGCAUUGUCGGGCAUGUCGAUGCCUAGGUCAAGUUUUGCCAAUCUUUCAUCAGGCAUGAGAUCUUAGGUUUUCCACCGAUCACCAUCGAACUCUUCAGUCAAAUGUUGACGGCUUCUAGCAUGCAUGACUCUUUACCUGUCUCAAUGUGAACUGACUCGCCAUCCAUGAUACUCAUCCUCCACGUGGGAUGUUUAUAUGUCUCUGUUAAUGCUCAAUGGGAAAAAGAUGGUGUUUUGAGCCAAUUAUCUUAUGUUUUAUCAACAUGGUGGUUCUCACAGAACGAUUUCCUCCUCUUGAUCUUUCCUUCUGGAUGUGGGUCUUCUGAUCAUAUCAUCACGUCCUGAGUUUCUUUUUGACAGCCAAGACUUCUCUUACCUCUCGUGUUGGCUACUGAUUGGCUCCUCAGAUGCUUAGUUGAUGUAUGCUAAUACUUCAUAUCAAUAAAAAAGCUUACCUGGGGCGGAACUCAGGGUCGCGUAGGAGGAAAUCUCCUAUAUGAGACGAGUGUUAGAGGCUGAGAGUAUUAUUCUUGAGGAAGACUCUGCGGAGGUGAUUGAACAGAUUCUAUAGGAGGGGUUGGGAGCAACAGAUCACCCACUUCUAGAUGACAUCCGGAGGCUGAUGAGGGAGUAUGGUGCCUUUUAGGUUGUACAUGUGUAUCGGGAGGUCAACAAAUCUGUUGAUUGGGUCGCCUCCUAUGCUGCUCUCCAUUCUGGGGAGAUCCUCUGGACUCGUUUUGUAUCUAUUCCUCCACCUCUAUAUCGUAUUCUUUUUCUUGACUCAGAUGGCUAUACUUACACAAGAUUAGUGUGAGCAGCCAAUGUACCAAAAAAAAAAAUUACCUCCUUUUCUCUCCGGUGCUGCAGUAAAAUGAUAUUCGCUUUUGGUGAUGAAAGAAGCAUCUGAUGAUGGCUCCUACCUGUGAGAUAAACCCAUAAUAUAUAUUACUACAUUCCAAAAUGGUGUGGUAGAGUAGAGAUAUAGUGGCACUUCUUUAUAAUUUUGUAGGAAGAUAAAAUUUGAUUGCAUGACUUAAAUUCUUUUUCUUUGGCUUGAAGCCAUGGUGAAGGGAGUCGGUUUUACACGACUCUCACAUGCAAAAUCUGGUCCAUUAUACCGUGCAAAGAUUAUAAGAAAUUUGAAAGAAUGAUAUUUUGUUGCUAUCUUUGCCACAUCAGCAAAAUCCAUCCCAUACAAAGGGACACAAGUGGAAGACUUUGACGAGGAAAAUGUUCAAACUGCGUUCAGACAUGCUUUUUGUCCGUUAGCUCCCGAGUUCUGGAGUUUGUUACGGGUUUGAAAGCUGGUUCAGAGUUUGUUAGGAUGAAUCCAGGAAAAUUACCACAUCAAAAAAAAAUCUCAGCUGGAGCUCUCAACAUCGCCGUUUCCUCUGUUACGCUUUCAUUUUUUAUUUCUUUUUCUCAACAGCCGUCCGUCCCCUUCGGUUUAAAGAGAGAGGAGGAGCAGGAGCGAUGGAGGUCUGCGGCGAUUGGUUCGAUGUGAUCGUCGUCGGUGCGGGGAUCAUGGGGAGCUGCACGGCCUACGAGGUGGCGAAGCGCGGCCAUAAGGCGCUCCUCCUCGAGAAAUUCGACUUCCUGCACCACCUUGGCUCGUCCCAUGGCGAGUCCCGGACGAUCCGAGCAACCUACCCGGAAGACUACUACGCCUCGAUGGUCCUCGAAUCCUACCGUCUCUGGGAAGAAGCACAGUCGGAGAUCGGCUACCGUGUCCUCACCAGGACCUCGCAUUUCGACAUGGGCCCUGCGGCGAACAAGAGCCUCCAGUGCGCGAUCGCCAAUUGCGAGCCGAAUUCGAUCAAUGCUCGCAUCCUCGACCGAAGCCAGCUUCAUGACAUGUUCUCUGGUGUAAUCCAGCUGCCGGAGCAGUGGAUCGGGGUGGAGACCGAUGUCGGCGGCGUGAUCAAGCCGACGAAGGCGGUCGCCAUGUUCCAGGCAUUGGCCAUCAGAAGAGGGGCCGUUCUCAGAGACCAUAUGGAGGUGAAGGACAUCGGGAGAGACGAGGCAGGAGGCGGCAUCUGGGUUUCAACUGCCAGCGGGGAGCGCUUCCGGGGAAGGAAGUGCGUGCUCACCGUCGGAGCCUGGAUGAGGAAGCUAGUGAAAGAAGUUAGUGGGCUGGACUUACCCAUCCAGCCUCUCCACACAACUGUUUGUUACUGGAAGAUCAAGGAGGGGCACGAGGAUGAAUUCUCGCCGGAGGCCGGGUUCCCGACGUUUGUGAGCUACGGCGAGCCUUGCGUCUACGGCACGCCAUCGAUGGAGUUCCCGGGGCUGAUCAAGAUUGCCAUGCAUGGAGGCCACCCGUGCGACCCCGACCGGAGGGACUGGGCGUCGGGCUCAGGGGUGCUGGUGGACCCGGUCGUCCCAUGGAUCGAACAGGUGCUGCUGCCGGGAAGCGUCGAGGCCGGGAAGCCGGUCAUGAAGCAGGCUUGCUUGUACUCGAUGACACCCGACGGGGAUUUCAUCAUCGACUUCCUCGGCGGGGAGUUCGGGAAGGACGUGGUUGUCGCAGGAGGGUUCUCCGGUCACGGGUUCAAGAUGGGGCCUGCGGUGGGGAGGAUUCUGGCGGAGAUGGCGAUAGACGGAAAGGUGGCAGGGUUUGAGCUGAAGCAGUUCAGGUUGGGGAGGUUUGAGGAGGACCCCAAGGGGAACGCCAAGGAGUUUGAGGACCAAGUAGCCUUCCACGUCAACCCAUGAAUAGCUUCCCUCUGCUUCAUUCUCUUCAGCUUCAGCGGUUCGGUUCAGUUCAGUGCAGUACAAAUCAUACUCGGUCGUCAGCCAUUGGUGUGUUUCCUAGUCCCCUACUUCUCCGUGUUUUGAUGUCAAUUCAGUUGAAGUGGCAGCAGCUCAGUCUACUGUAAUCUUUCUAGUUCGGUAUCUAGUUAGCCUCCAAACCAAUACUGUGAAGCUUGUGAAAGAUUGGAAGUUAAUUAAGGUACCAAGUAUCCGGGUUGGUUUCUCAUUGGCUUCUGAUUACUGGAACGGGGCAACGACCUCGGCAUGGGAUGGUUCGAGUCAAAUAAAUAAAUAAAUAUAUAUAUAUAUACAUAAGAAACAGCAGGGAAUAGAAUUAAAUAAAAUCAACCAACAUGAUCUUUUUGCACCAGUACUCAAGGAGCCAUGAUAAAUUAGAUAUGGAAAGAUUCCACGUCCGUAUCCUUGAUUGAUGAUCCUUGAUUGGUUCUCGUGUUCCCCACUCCACGCCCCAUCCUAGAUACAUAGCUUAAUUUCUUGAUUGGGGCAUUCAUGAUGAAAUAAGCAAAAGACUAGAGCCUUGUCCUGUGAAUAGUAAAGGUCAAUGCCGUGUGCAAUCUGUCCAUACGGUCCUGCUUUGAUGUCCGAGAAUUUAACAGUCCUCUUUUCCUAAAAAAAAAGAAGAAAGAGAGAGAGAGAGAGAGGAAGUAAUCACAUCAAACCAUGUCGAAUGUGACAGUGGUUCUGAAUGAACCAAGGUGUUAUAGUUUAUAACAGAUAUCCAAUUUGAAUGGAACAAUCCAUGUUUGAAUAGUAAAAGAAUGAUGGUCUUUUGUUUGUUCAACUAACUAAAUUUUUAUGGCGAACACCCAAGAACACAGAAAUUCAAAUCUCAUAUUUGAUUUAUGAACCUAGUUUCCCUCAUGGCCACGUAUAUCUAGAAAUUCUUAGCCAUUAUCCUCUCCCUCAUUUUAACGGCUGAGUAACAGUGUAAUAAUUUUCUCUCAAUUGCCUAACUUAAUAGUUUUGCCCGUUCAAAUCCAUGUACAUUUGCUAGAGUUGCAGUUCAUUUAUAUAAUAUGAUUGUGCUAUUCUACGGAAGGCUCCCCCUCUUCCAAUUACUUGAAUUGUUAUAUUGUGCUUCGCAAACCUUUGCAUCAACUUGGUAGGCGUUAUUAACCUUCCUCACAAAAUUUAGAAACUUCAAUAAGAAAAGGUAGAACAUUAUAUGUAUGUACGAAGAAAAUUGUGAUGGUAAUAGCCUGCUCAGAGAUCCAUGGACUUUUAACCCAUGGGAACUACUUGGCUUCGAUCAUCAGGUUGAGUUCUUUGAUGAUCACUUUUCCUUGUUGGGUCCGAAAAUGGCAUCCAGAAAUAUAUUUGUUGAUUUCCUUGAGUUGUACCAACUAUACCUGUUUCUUUUCGAACAUUUGUUGACAUCUUCUGCAUUAUCAUGGAUCGAGAUCAGAUUUUGCGUUACAUGGUCUCAAUCUCCAUGUCAAUGUGGUGCUGCCUAUCGCUAGGCUGAUCAUCCUUUAAUCAUGUUCCCCAUGCUGCAUGAUCUACUGCAAUGCUUGUUUAUGACUUUUUUUGGGUCAACAACCGUAAAAGAAAAUAAAUAAAUAAAUCAUAGAGCAAUAGGAGGAGCAAAGGUUGGAUCUUAUUGGAUCUUAUCCCUAAUCAAGAUGGUGCGACGCUCUGAAAUUGGAAUAAGAUGGACACAGUUUAUCAUGGAAACAAUCUUUAGAAGCAGACAAAGCAAUAUUCCAAAAGUUCUGUGUGUUAGUAUAGAAAAAUUAGUCAUUAUUGUCUUCAUUUUGAAGAGAAUUCUAUAUAUGUUGGUUUGAGGUUGAUUUUGAUGUUUAAUUGCUGUUACUGCUCUUUCUUUUUUUUUUUUUGGAUGGUAAGGGACAAUAAAAGAGCCACCUGGCCUUUAUUGCGAGAGAGAGAGAGAGAGAGAGAGCACCUGGCCUUUAUGCGAGAGAGAGAGAGAGAGAGAGAGAGAGAGAGAGAGAGAGAGGAGGGNNNNNNNNNNNNNNNNNNNNGAGAGAGAGAGAGGGGUUGGGGGGAACUAUUUACAUCAAGCCCAGGAAGAGGCCAUCUAAAGAAGCAGCCCAUAAGAGAGAGCGGGCCUCUUUAAUGUAACGACGAUAAAGACACCAGCCCGCGAAAUGGAUUGUGGCCGAAACCAAAGCAUCUGGAAAUUGACUGUUUGCGUCGACCGAAAAAAAAGGUAGCUUUCCAGUUCUUAAUCUUUUGCUGACAGUUUACAAUUUUUUUUAUAAAAAACAAACAACACUCCUCCUAUACUGCACAUCACUCGAAAAAACUCUUUUAAAAGAAUUAUGAGCCUGUUCUUCACCUUUUUUCGUCAAAGAUUGCUUGUUUAGAAAAAUUCUGUUGCUCCUUUCUUUCCAACACACCCAUGCCAUGGCUGCCAGUAGCUUAAGAAUCACCUAUUGGGCAGCUUUAUGGAAGUUUUUACAUCUCUAAUCCAACACAUCAUUUCAAAAUUUGAUAGAGGCCGGAGAACAUGAAGGGAAAGAGUAGACAGCUUUUCUAAUUAGUCCAAAAGAAGCUGCAUUGUGAAAGGAGAUCAUCCAUUGUUUCCAACUUCGAGUUACAGAGAAGGCAUCCUUUCAACUUCUUUCUAAGCUUGCUUCCAGGAAGUAUCUAGUUUUUUUCUUCCAGAAAAGUGUAUAUUUGCAUUUGAUUUUCCGGGAAUUUAAAAACUGAUACCAAAUUACUGAGCGCUGAGCUCCUGGCUUUCAUUAUGGUUGGUUCCAUCCAAAAAAAAAAGAAAAGAAAGACUUUGAUUACGUUUGGGCCAUCUAAUUUAAUGCACCAGGCAGUCUGCUGUGAAAGGUGAACCACCUUCUAGAGAAUCUAUUACUCGCUUGCUUAAAAUAAUAAAAUGAUUAAAAUUGAAAGAGACUAAAGAAAAAAGGGGAAGAGGAGGAACGAGCCAACGGUUUCAUUUACCCCUACGGCCCUACCUUCUAUCUAAUUGGAAGGAGACGAGAAUAUUUUAAUUUGUUCGCAUGUGAGACACAAUUAUUUCAUCCAUGUCUUCAAUAACACCAAAAGUUUGUUUCUCUCUCUCUCUCUCUCUCUCGCUUUUUUUUAGAAGAUUACGGCUAAGAGCUUUUAUCUUUUGCAAAAAUAGAAUGACCGGCCCUUUUAUAUGAUAAAUGGAAGUUAAAUAUAUGGACUUGGAAUCUGGUUAAUUAUAACAUAGAUUAGUCUUCCCUUUUUUUUUCCUCUCCCAAAAAAAUAUAAAAAAUAAAAGAAGUUAGCUGGUCUUCCAAACUAGCUCUUCUUGUACAAUUCUUUUUUAGUUCACUAAAUUUAGUGGCCAUGCCACACCAUAAAGACUUGACCCGUCGUAUAGCUUGGGUUAGCUCGAAACAAAAUAUUCUUGGCUGAGCAAGGACUUGGUCUGGAAAGCAUUAGUCUACAAGUCAAAUUGGGUCCGAGUUAGAUGUUUGAGCAAUCCAAAUAAGUCAUAUUUUGGCCCAACUUUAGUUUACAUUCUAGUUAACUCAAAUUUAGCACUUACAUAUUUUACUAAAAUUUGACUAAUCCAAUCCCACCCAUCCUCUUCUAAUUCCAAUGAGACCGAAAUUUAUCUCUUGUCUCGACCUCAAUCAUGUUCAUAUCAAAUUCUAUAUUAUCAAAUAAAGUUUAACCUGGGUCUGCCUAGAAUUUCAAACUAGGGUGGAGCAAAUUAAGAUCCAAAAACGUUAAAACUGGAUUAGAAAUGAAUUUGCUACACUUAACCCUUUCAUAUUGUAUCCCAAAUGCUAAAGUAGAAUGUUUAUGACUGCUCAGCCUAGGCAUGAGAGAGAGACGUUUGCGCAAUCCCGGCAAAGAAAGGGACGUUGCAAGUCUCGAUUGAUGGUGGGUAAUAAGUGUCCUCAAACCAGCUCACCACCUCCAAGCUAACCUAACCAACUCCCUCCUACCUCUCUUGCUCUCUCUCGUCAGUCGUCACAAAGGACCCUCCUCUCAACUACAUAACAAGCAAUAAUAAUCACAUCACAACCAACGGUCCCCCUCACGGCCUCCUUCUUCUUCUUUCCCUCUGUGUCGAUGGGGCCCACAGCUCGGCGAUGACCGCGGCCAGUAUUUGGGAGCAAUGGCACUGUCGGGGGACGGCAACAAAAGCAUCCGCCUUUUCUUCGCUGUCCGUGCAGUCCCUCCUCCUAUCCCCCCUUCGCCGGAGAUCCCAUUUUUUUUUUCCACCCUUUCUUGUCGCUCCGUACCCUUUCUCUCUUAUUAUUCUACUAAUUUUUAUAAAUUUCCCUCCUCCGACCCGUCUUACCUUUGAUCCCUUCCUUCGCUCUCGCUUUAGUUUAUAAGGCGUGGAGGGGAAGUUUUUCCCGCGACAAUCGUUCGCCUCUUUCGUUGGAUUCGUUGGUGGGCGGUUCCAGUAGUGCUCACUUGCGUCUUUGAACAAGAUUCUUUCUUUCCUCCGCCUCCCCAGCUGUUGCUGUUGCUGUUGCCGCCUUUGGGGGCCUUGACUUCAGCUCCAAAGCAGGGCUUUUUUCCUUUCAGUUUGGUUGAUUGUUUUUUUUUCUUUUUUUGACUUCCCGGCGUCGGAAAAAUCCGAUCUUUAGCGCCGGCCACGCAGCGCGUUUCCAGGCGGUGUCUACAGUGGCUCCUCCUUUCUUUUCGGUUCGCUUGUCGAAAUUAAAGCAAGUUUUGUUAAUCGGAUGUCUGCAGCUGCGGUUCUCUUCUUGGAUGCGUUGUUGUAGUUCGCGAGUCGUUGCUGGGUGUAAAAGGUUAGAGCUUGAUGAAUUCUUAAAGUUUUUUUUCUUUUAAUGUCCGUUUGCUGAAUUUGUUGUGUUAGUAUUGGAGUGGUUUGAGUUAGAACCGCAGCUUCUCGGAAUUUCACUCUAAGAAGUCUGAUGGAUUUUUGGAAUUGAAUUCAGGCGAGGUUUUUGAAGAUCUGAUAUUCUUGUGUUUGCUGUAAUUGUGGUUCUCGGGGAGAGAUCGAGAGUUUUUGGCAAGCUUCAAUCGGAAUUUUGACUGCUGAAAUAGUGCUGCUUAAUUUUGAUCGAAAGCUUCAGACUAAAUCAUACCCCAUCCAAUAUCAAGCUCGGCGAUUAGUCCUGCAAGCAUUGAAUGUUGGAGCAAGUUCCUACCGUUGCUCCAUCUGAAACGAUCCUUCGAUCAAGGUGAAGCCAUGAGACAGCUUAGAUUUUCUCCAUGGAUCGGGAUCGCAGCAUUUGUCGUUGGUGCGCUGGCUCUACGAGUUCUUUCUCAUUCUCUUCUCCGAGGAGGAAUUCCGGCCGCAGAUCAAGGGUUCAGACCUGUGGCCCUGUCGAGGGGUCCUGGCGAUCCUCCGGUGUUUGCUUAUUGGAUGUCAGGAACCGGCGGUGAAGGUGAGAAGAUUUUGAGGCUCUUGAAGGCAGUUUACCACCCAAGGAACAGCUACCUUCUGCACCUCGACGCUGAUUCCACAGCUGGUGAGAGGAGAAGACUGGCGCUGGCCAUCCAAUCUGAUAGAAUUUUCAAAGCUUUUGCAAAUGUUGAUGUCGUGGGAAAACCUCAUGCGGUCGAUCGGACGGGUUCAUCGGUACUUGCUGCUGCACUCAAUGGAGCUGCAGUUCUGCUCAAGAUCAGCUCAGACUGGGAUUGGUUCAUCAACUUGAGUGCUUCAGAUUAUCCAGUUGUAACUCAAGAUGGUAGCCUCUUUUUCUUGUUUCCAUAUAACAAUUUGUGCUUCUUAGUAAAUCUGACAAUAGAGGCUCCAUGCCCUAUUUAGAGCUUCCUUUUAAGGGCAAGGGCAUAUUUGGUUGGGGCUAGUUUGGUAUGAAAAAUAAAUCUCAUAUCAGGUUAUCAUAUUCGAUAAUCUAAAAAAUAUUAUUUUGAACAAAAAUACCCUCACUUAUAUUAAAUUAAUAUUAUAUUAAUUUUAUUAUAUAAUCAAUAUUAUUUUUAAUAUAUUAUAUUGAUAUAUUAUAAAUAUAUCAAUAUAUCAAUUAAUAAUAUUUAUAAAUAAUAAUAAUAUAUUAAUAAAUAUUAAUUAUCAAAACAUACUAAAAUUUAUUUAUAGCAAGAACUAUAUUUUCUAAUAUAUAUAAUUAAUUUAAAAUAUUUAUUAACUCAUGUUAAUAUAUUUUAAUAUUCAAAAUAGCCCAGCAAAUGGGCUGAAAAAAAAUGUUAUUACUUGAAUUCUUUUUUCGAUGCCAUUUUCCGUAGUAAUUUUUCCACCAACAAAAUGUGGUAAAAUUUAUUUUCUCCCACAAUUAUUUUUUUUUUUCUAGAUAAAUAAUUUUCAGAAAUUGUCGACAUACCCCAGCCAAACGAACCCUAUUAUUAGGAACUCGAGGGUACAAUGAUCUGUCUUCUGAUCUGAUUCUACUUGUUUUGCAUGAGGAACAUGAUGACCAAGUCUUAUUGAUAUGUUACCUUUUGAAGCUAAAGCAUAAUCAUAAGAAUAAAUUGGGCUUAUUUGACCAUGUUUUCUUUGUAGCCAUGGAUAUUAUUCAUAUCGAUCAAUAAACCAGUCCAACUCUCAUUCUAGACCAUUUUGAAUUGAUAGCUUUGUGCCUCUUUAGCCCUAUUCCUGUGCCAAUGUUCAUAUGAUAUGGUAUCCUUAUAAGCAACAAUGAUUCUCUCAACUCCUUCCCGAUGCUUAUGGUUUCUGAUUUCUGAACCUGUGACACUUGUAGCAAUGCAAACUGAAGGUUUCUACUCUUGUUUUUUAUUAUUUCUUGGUUUCUGAAUAUUAAUGAGGACAACCCUACAGGCCUAGCACUUCUCCUCAUCAUCAAAAAACAGAUUUAUCUCUUGAUUAAAUUGACAGUGGUGGCUGGAGAUGAAAAUGGGGGGGAAAAAAUGAAAAUUUAUAAUACUUCUAAGUUCGCUGCUACUUAAGUAAAGUUCUUUCUUGCUGCUCGGUGGGAUUCUUACUCAGCAAGAAACCAAAGAUCUUAUGAAUUCAUUGCCAGCAUUCACCUUGAUGCUGUUUCAAGUCUUUCAGGCGAGUCUGGUGUGUUCUCUCAUCACUCAGUUUAAAUUUAAUCAAUUUGAUUCAUUCGGCAUUGACAUAUAUAGAAAAUUUCUGUCAAGUUCUUUUUGUUUACUCUGGGAGAAGUAAGAACUUGUUUUUCUUUAGUUGAGGAAGUACGGCCCUAAUCGAGAGGAAUGGAGGAAAAGACCUCAAUUAGUUCGGGAUUAAAGCUUAGUUGAGUUGAGUUGCGUUGAGUAGGAGAGAGACAUAAAACGCUCAAUAUCUGAUGCCACAUACUUUUCAAUUCAUAACAGUGAUUGUCAGCCUUAUGCAUGUGAAAUUUCAAUUAGUCUCCCUUUUGAAUUGGAAGUUUUUGGCAACUGUGGAGCAUUAGUAACUUAUGCAUUUGAGGGGUUUUUUUUCAGUAGUAAUGAUCAAAAUUCCUAUAUAUUCUCAUCGAUGUUUCCUGCACCUCCAUUUAUCCUAGUAACAAAUGUUGAAAAAAUGUCUUGCAUGCAGAUCUUCUUCAUGCUUUCACUUCUUUGCCAAGAGAUCUGAACUUCAUUGACCACACAAGUGACCUUGGAUGGAAAGAGUAAGCUCAUUAGGAAAUCAUAUUUUAGUAUUUAUGAUAUCUCUUUAAAUCUUUUAAAAUGUUUUGUUAGGCUGAGUUGAGUUAUUGUUCUACAGGUCUGAGAGAUUUGAUAAAAUUAUUGUAGACCCAAGUCUUCAUAUGGACAAAAAUACUGAAUCCUUCUUCGCUUCGGAGACACGAGCGACACCUGAUGCUUUUACAUUAUUCACAGGUCUGUCUUCCGUAUUCAGGAAUUCUGUUUUCCAUUUGGCUGUUCACGAGCCAUUGUUUAGAUUUUGUUCAAUAAGCCAUUCAUUUGGAAAACCAGGAUAUCUGACAAACUAAGUUUUAUGAAAUUUUAAAUGCGAAUCACAUUUACCAACACAUGGUGCUGUAAAUUUUCUAAAGUUUUAUCAGCAACAUCCAUAGAAAUCAAAUUAGAAUUUGCCUCUCGCUGUGGAGACUGGACUGAAAUUUUUCAGUUUUUUCAUGGGAACAGGUUCCCCAUGGUUCAUUCUCAGCAGAUCCUUUGUGGAGCACUGUGUGCAUAGCUGGGAUAACUUCCCUAGAAAACUUCUCAUGUACUUUGCCAAUGUGGCCUACUCAAUGGAAUCCUACUUCCAAACAGUGAUCUGCAACAGCCCUGAGUUCCGAAACACCACCGUCAACAGCGAUCUAAGGUACUUCCUUUGGGAUGAUCCACCAGGAUUGGAUCCUCGCUUUCUCAAUCAAUCACAAUACAAGGAGAUGAUAAAAAGUGGAGCGGCCUUUGCGAGGCGGUUCAUGGAAGAUGACAGUGUGCUCGAAAAGAUAGAUAAAAAGAUACUAAGGCGCUCGCCAAAUGGAGUGGGCGUCGGAAAGUGGUGCUUAGGGCGGCCCGGCGGUCGGAAAAGGAAGGAAUUGGAGGAGGAUCCAUGCUCGAGCUGGGGUGAUAUCAAUAUCGUCGUGCCUGGACCAUCAGGGAAGCGGCUCAGAAGUUUGGUGUCAGGGCUCAUUGCAGAUGAGAAGUUGCGUUCAAACCAGUGCAGGUUUGCAUGACGUGAUCGGGCCAUGGAUCGUGAUAGCCUUCGAAAUUAGGCCAUUUGGUAAUGACUCUGUCGUCGCUUAUUUAAUCAGUUGAUCAACAGGUGCAGUUGAACCAAAGGCCAUUGAGCCAGAGGGUGAGAUUUUUGGGUGGUUACAUUUUCCUUGGGUGAAUUCCUGAGCAUGAUUUGCAUGGGUAAGAGAAGUAACACAAUAGAGGCCUUCCAUUCAGGAGGAAGUAGGACUAGGUUCAUAAGCUGAUAAAGGGUGUGUCAAAAAAAAAAAAACCGGAAAUCCAAUUUUACAUUGUCUUCAUCUACUGAGAUUCCAAUUUCCGUUGUACCAUAUCAUACAUCUAUACGUGAGGUAUAAAGCAUCCUGUACUUUUGAGAUGAUCAAAUAUCUUGUUGGAUCUUUGGUCGUCGAGUUUUCAUUUUAAGAUUGGUGUUUGCAAUCCCUUUGAGAAACCAAUCUUGAUGUGCAUAACAGAUUUGCUUACACUGUCUUCAGAUAUCUUUCGAGAUAAUCCACAGUACAGUAAUUCUUUCAUCAUGCGGGGUGAUCCACACUCUCUCGCUCAAUUGGAUUACGAAGCCUCGAUUCUUAAAUGAACUUAGUCGGACCACCGAACUAACGGCUACAAUUGCAGCUCCCGUAUUUCUUAGAGAACCGUUCAAGUCUUUUUCUGGAAUUAGUAACUCGGAGAGCAUGCGUGGAAGAGGAAGAGAGAAGCUUUGCUUGUGCAUGUCCGUGUGUGGGGGACUUGGGCUACACGCACGAAUGAGUUGGGCUGGGUUGGGAUUUUCUAUCUAGGAGAACCGGCUGGGCCUGGGCAGGGGACGCAAAUGGAAUUAAUAUGAAAGCGUGACAAAGGCCCGCUACGGAUCUCUCUCUCUCUCUGUGUGCGCGCGCGUCUCCCUCCCAUCUUAUUCAAGCAUCCAAGCCGAAAAUGCAUGAUACCACCUAUUUUUUGUUGUCUAAUUUUGAACUGCGCGGAUGCAAUCUGGCGGAUAGGAUCAUAGCCUCGAUUGGCAGGAAGUCAAUAACAUUUCCAAGAGUUCCACAUGGAUAAUUCUUUUCUUCUUUCUAUAUAUCAAAUGAUCAGCGGCACCUCAAAAUUAUCCUUAUUUUCUAGUUAAAAAAUGCGACACCUGAAAUGUACAUGAAGAGAUAGACACCAUUUGAAACAUCAUAUUAUCCUUUCUUUUUACCACUUGCACAUGCUGAAGACAAGAAAGAUAGGUGCUGUAUCUUUUGCCCGAAAGAAAAUUUUAUCUUAAUUUGUAGCCAUUUUGAGAUUUCCGCACGUAGAUAAAUGAAAAGGUUUCGAAUAUUUCGAUUGCAAAACAAGAUAAAUUAUUCUUUCGCGCAAAAGGUAUUUAAAAAAAAUAUACAUGUAUUAUAUAAUAACCAUCAUUUAAACAGUAAAUAAAAUGAAAGUAUUAUCUAGGAUAAUUGAUAAUUUGGUGAGGCUAAAACUAAAAUCGAACCAGACAUUAGUAUGUUCGUAUUUAUUUUAUUUGACAAAUACAAAUGCAAACAUUUAUUUUUAUAUUAUUUUUAAACGUAUACAAAUACAAACUAAAUACUAAAUAUAUAUGCACGCACACACGUGAAAAUUUAAUAAUUAAAUUUUAUGACCACAAAAUUAAAAAUAUUACUUAAUAAAUGAUAAAUCAAAUUAAUAGUACAUUAACAUACUCAUUUAUCUUUAAAAAUUUAUGAGUGAUAUAUAAAAUUAAAUAAAAUUAUAAAUAAAAUCAAAUAUUUGGAUACAGAGUGUUGUGUAUUUAUUUAUAUAUAGACACAAAUAUAGAUAUUAAGUAGAUACUUAAAUUUUAUCUAUAUUCAAUUAAUUUUAGAUAAAAGUAAAUUUGAAUGAAUAUUAUUCAGCCCGGCAAUCAUAUAAAAGCUUCUGAAUAUGAACAAGAUCCUUAAGCUUGCACGAUACUCUAGAUAAACGUCUUCAGUUUUUUUUUUUAAUACCUUUAACAACCCCCAAAAAAAAAACAGAAGGAAAAGCAAUAUAUACAAAACUAUAAAUAAACCUCCUGGAAUAUUUUUUUUUAAAAAAAACGCAAACGUGCCAGAAGAAAAUCCCUGACCCAAAGAGUCACCAGCACUCGGCCCAUCCCUCCUGCUCCUUGCCGCCUCGGGCUCGCCUAGCGGCACGAGCGAGUCUCGACUCGGCGAUAACGAUAAGCUUCGCGGGCACACCAGCACACGCUUCCAAUGUCCUCAGACUCGCCCCUUCGCACGGGCGACCUCCGUCGCCGCACCGCUUCACGGCGAACCAAAGCGCGGCCGCCAGACUAACCCAGAGGGUCGUAACCGUCUUCUUACCCGAGCACGCGCGCAGCACGCGCGCCGCCACCGCCGCGCACCGCCUCGCGCGUUGCUCCGCCAGCCCCAUCCUCCGGCUCCAAUUUAUCAGAACACCUUCCUCCGCCGCCGCUCCCCUCCGGGCCGAUUCGGGGGCCGCCGACUCGGCGGUGGAGACGCAAGAGGAGUCCGACGAGGAGGCGUCGUCGUCGGAGGAGGGACCGGUGGCGCGGCGGCAGGAGAGGCAGAGGGAGUGGAUCGGGGGGGAUCCUGCGCCGAAGAGGACGCGGGCGUCGUCGAGGGCGUGGCAUUCGGCGCAGGCGAUACGGCGGAGGUGGCGGGCGACGAGGAAGUUGGCGCCGUGGACGUGGGCGUCGCAGGGCCAGCAGAGGAAAGCCGCGUCCGCCUCGCAGUAGACGGCGGCGCCGCCCUUGCACAGCUCGCAGGCCCUCCGCCCCUUCAUCCCCUCCGCCCGAACAAACCCUAACCCCCUAAUUCUAAAAUCUAAAAUAUUUUUAACCAGGAAGAGACAGAGAGAGAGAGAGAGAUGGGCCUUAGAGAGGGAGAGAGAUACGAAGCGGGGGAAACGGGAUCGGGCGGGGAGGGAGAGAGAUACGAGGCGGGGAAAACGGGAUCGGGCGGGGAGGGAGAGAGAUACGAGGCGGGGGAAACGGGAUUGGGUGGGAGGGCGAAGGGAGCUAGUUUUAGGAAGAGAUCCGGAGGAGGAGGAGGAUGGAGGAGGGUUUGGAAGGAAGAGACCACUUCCAUGGACUUAAAUAUACGAUGUUAGCUCAGAUAUUUUGAGAGGUUGGGAUUUAAAUAUUUGUUAUUAUUAUAUUAUGGAAUUAGUCUAUCAGAUGUAUGGAUAGGUGGGAAUAUUAAAUAAAUCUUCCUUUCACUGGAUAUUACCAAUUUUCGGAAUAAUUUGUCUUUACGAAAAGAGAAAUAUUUGUUAAAUUGAUUAGUUUUUUAUUACUAUAUCUUGCCAAUUGUGAUGUAACGAUCUUCAUUUAUUCUCAAGAAUCCCAACUAGUGGUCCAGAGAGAAUGUUUUUGACAAGGGAGGACACCAGCCGUCAGUUUUAUUUAACUUUUUAUAUUUAAAUUAUAAUUAUUAUAAAUUAGCUUAAAGAUUAAACAUUUGAUUAGCUUGUGGUGUAAACUUAUGACUAUACAAAUUCAAUGUUGGAUAAUUUUCUAUGCUUUCUAUGUGAAAAAGACCGAGAAUUAUGUAUAAGCUAGAUUUGAAUUAAAAUAUUGGAUAAUCUGCCACAAGUUGUCAUUCUAUUUAAAAGAAAAUCAUAUAACUUGAACUGCAUGCCUAUUAUUUCAAACCAAAAUUUGUCCCAACAAAAGUAGCUAAAAAAUUUUAUUUUAAUUAGAGGUCGGCGACCGCCGCGUUCAACCAGACCACAUACCACCUCACUCGAACUGCUCGCCGCUCUUGCUUUUAUCUGUCCCCUGCCGAUAUAAUUAACGGACAGAGUUGUAUGUUCCACGCGAGAGAAGGAUUCAUCUUUUCCUUCUACGAAUCCAUCGUUGGAUCUAGCUGCUUUGAAAGCUGUGCAGCAGAUGAUUAAAAAAAAUUGUUUGAGAUCUGUGCAGAAUGCGAAAGAAUAUCGAUCAUUCUUUGGAGCCAGAGAACCAAACGCGGCAAGUUCUUGGGUCAGAUCUCUCGUAUUCUCCCCGGGCGGUGACGAUAACGGGGUUCGCUCCGGAGAAAAUAUCUGGCUCCCCGUGCGUCCCCAACCGCGGAGCCCCGAGACUUUUAGUCAGGCUAUUCUGCUCCACGAACCGACACACUUUCGAUCGCUCGGAUUCGCACGUGUCAGCUCCUCGUCCUCUCUCGUAGACUUCUGGCGUUUCGGUCGGGAUCGUGGGCAAACUUGUCGACGCAGGAAAAAAAAAAAGAAGGCGAGGAAUUUUUGAGCGCAUAAAUCAUAGCCACUCGCUUGCAAUGACGUGUGGGAGUCUCUCUCUCCGUGUGUCAUAUGCCAUUCAAAAUCCUUAAUUGACAUCUGCGCCGGUUUCUUCAAACAAGUCAAGGGCCGAACGAUUACAUCCACGAGGAUUCACCACGUGUAGUGCUCAGCUGUGCUCAGGGAACUGGAUGCCUCGGGCUUGGAGGCGAGACAGCCACCAAGCAGUCCAAAUGAUGACAUCAUUCCUAUAGAAACGUGACACUAGAGAGCAAAACUACCUUGGAGGCGAGGCACCCACUCGUACAUGCUUUCCAGCCAAGGAAGGAGUCCAAAAUUACUAGUUUUGCAGCGCGCUAGUACACAGCUUUGUUGGUGGACCAGCAAUCACGUGUGAUCCGUCCCUUUGAGCCCGCUGUGCAAUCCCCUGGCCUGUCCCCUUUCACGGAGAGAUCCAAAUCCGGCCAAUUUAUGAUCGUUUGUUCGGAUAUCCACAAUUAGUGGGAGGCUUGGAGUCUUGAGGCCGCGUGGCGCCGCACAUGGAGAGAUCUCCAAGAUUACCGGGAUUUUUUUCUCUCCCUCUCUCUCUUGAGACCACGUAGUUCUUGUUAUAGUUGAGGAGAUUAAGCUAGUGCUAAUUAGCCGUUCCUCCCUGGGCAGUGGGCAGUGGGCAGUGGGCAGUGGGCGGUGGCCAGUUUUUUUACUGCUUUGCCAGCACAACUAGCUACCCGAAAUUGGCCGGUUUAAAGAGACUGAAUAUCAUAAGAUUCUACAACUGCAUGCACACUAUGAAUAAAACAUGAAUUAUGAGCUCAGUCAAUGCUCAAGAAAAAAGUCAUCCAAGAGAGUCACUGAACCGGCUUCCAGCAUACCCGUUGCUUCACAAUGUGGUACAAAUCACAAUGCAACUUCGAAGGGGGCAACGAGAAUACAGCACGACGGCUGAGUGAUUUUUUUUGUUACAUUUUUGAGUUGCUAAAGCAUUUUUGAUCAAUUAUAUAAUGAUCAUGGUUCAGUAAGAAUUUAUUUACGCACCUUUGAACUUUGAAAGCCACCAUGGGCUAACUAUGUAGGCCAAUGUAGACAGGCUGCGAGAUUAAAAACGUACCUGGUGGAUCAGAUAGAAAGUAGCUUACUGAUUUGACAGCUCGCAAUCAUUUCGAUUGCCUAACCUUUGCAACCAAGCAAUAGCAGGUUGCUCAAACUUCGCUUUCAAAGAAGGCAUCCUUGUAUAGACUAAUUAAUUGGCAGAUAAUCAGGAGGGAACGAGGAAACCUCCUUGGACCCUUCAGAUGCAUUCUCAAAAGCACUGCCCAGUUUUAGCGGUUGACAGAGAGACAAUUGGGUGAUGGAGAGCAGAUGUAGUUGUCAGCUUCUUUAUUCUCCACCAACCAUCUGGAGCAAGCGAGACAGUGAAGCCCUUUGUAACUUCAAGCGCCAACUUUCCCUUCUUUACCUGCUUUUGACUACCAUCUGAGGUUCGCAGAAGAGCCAGACCAAACCUGGAGGGUGGUGUACAGGCCAAGACCUGCAGGCCAAAAGCUCAGCCACCAGCAAGGAGAGGAAACAGACCACCGCUUAAGAGUUCACAUUAUUCUGCUUCCUAUAUCAUAAGUUAAUUAUAUAGUAUGGAAAGGGGGACCGUAGCCACUUUAUUUAAUAACUGCAAAAAAAAAAAACUUCCACCAUCCACAGGGGACCCAUCAUUUCAUUAGAUCGCUAUCAGUUUAACCUCCUUUUAAAACUGAUCACAAGAUUUUCUUUUGACAACAUCAAAGCAUUUGAAGACAUGAACUAGUGGUCACCAAACUGGCCAAAUGCCGUACUAUUGUUUUAUUGUUUCCUGUGUAACAUAUGAUGAUGAUGAUGAUGAAAGCCUUCAUCUAUGUAGAAAAACAAAAAAAUGAUAAUAAUGUACAGGGGAAGCCAGGGCACAUUCUUUUGUGAGAUGGGAAAUUGUUUGCUUUAUUGAAUGCAACCUAAGGCAAACUGGGAUUCAGAAUUCCCAAAAAAAAAAACUGGUGAUGAAAUCACAGCUGCCUACAUGGCCAAAAUAAUUGGUAUGGUAGCCCAUAUGUGUUGUCUGAUAUUGUAAGGAAAGAAUCAAGAACCUAUACAGUAAGCUGAAUUCAUCCUUGCUGGAUAACUUGGGAGGGAAUGGCCAUUGACUCACCAUGUGUGGUAUCCAAGAGAACUGCAAACCAUGAGAAGCAAUCACCAUAUAACACAACCAGGGAAAUACACGUAGGAGAUCUUUAUUCCAUCAUGUAGAGGUGCCAAACAAAUAAAAUAGCAUACUACUUCUAAAAAGAUAUCAAUAAUAUCCACAUAACCACACUAAGAAACAUGCAACCUUAAUACGUAGCUAGCGACAAACUUAAUAUAGCCUACAUUUACUAAAAUAACAGAGCUGCAAAGGGAGAAGUAUGUAUUGUUUAUUAAAGCAGUGUUGAUGAAAAUGAAUUACAUAAGGUUCAAAAUGGAGUUUCAAAAUGUUUGACAAGUCAAAUGUCAUUUCAAAUCUUGCCAUCUAGGGGUUGAAUUAAAAUUUUGUAAAGUUAAAACUGAUGCAGCUCACCUGCAAAUCAUGCAUUAUCCAUCUUUCGCAUUAAAUCUCUCAACAAUUCGUUCCACCAAAACUGGAUAAAGUGAGAGCCAGUAUAAUAUGAAUCCUAGUAGAGUUCAGCAAAACUAGAUUUUGCAAUUACUCUAGAAAAUCUCCCCCUCUUCCACCAUAAGAGGAGCCUCAUUAGACCCCGCAAAAGAUGGAGCCUCGUGCAUUGGAGGACACUUUUUAGCUAAAGUUCGAACCAAUGACCUUCCACUUGGAUGACGCGCUCAAUCACCAAGCUAUAACAUUCAUUUCGACCUUUAUAAUAGACAAAUUAUUAUAUUUAUUCAUAUUUAUUCCCAUCACUAAAUAGUUAUUUAAUGUAUAUUAUGAUAUUUAAUAUUCUAAUUAUCUUGUAUAAAAGAUUAAUACUUUUCUUAUUGAUAAAAAUGAAAAAUGAUUAUACUUUAUUUUAUUCUUUAUGAUAUUUUCAAAACUUUAUUGUUAAAAAUAUUAAAAACAUUAAUAAUUUCUAUGUAUUCUUGCAUUUAUAUAUAACUUUUCUUGCAAGUUUUAUCUAUGCUGCAAUUAAAGAGGAAUGGUGAUAUUUUAUGCACAAAAUUGUUGAUAUUUUUAUGCUAUAUUUUUUAUUCUCAAUAUUUUUUUAAUAUUUAAUAUUGUUAAUACAAACCUAGUCGUACCAAAGAUGCAGACCCUUGACCAAGUUAGUCUCGUGCAUGUUUAAUAACAAUAUCUUGAAUUCUUAUUUAUCGGUGGAGCAAUAUGGAUGGUGGUUGUUAUUCUCAUUUUUUAUGAUUAUAUAGUUAAUGUUACUUUUUCAUUAUUAAAUUCUGCUAAAAAUCUGAUUUAUAUUCGAAUGAUAUCCAACUUAUAUCCAUAUUCUGAUCCAAAAAAGUAUGGAUAUAACUAACAUCCGACUUGUCUCCAUAUCUGUUCAGAAUAAAUAUAGAUAUACUUAAUAUUCAAUUCAUAUCUAUAUUUGUUUGAAUAUAAAUAGAUAUUAAUUUUGGUAUCCAUUUAGCAUUUGUAUCCAUAUUUGUAUUCGUUGAAAAAAUAUAGAUAUACUAGUACCCAAUCUGUAUCUGAUCCAUUUUCAACCCUAACUCUAAUUGAACAAUUGACAGUAUAACUCAUAACACAAUAAUCACAUAACUUCAUAAUCUGUUAUUAACCAGUAUGGCACACAAAAAGAUGAGAAUUUGAUUUGAACCAUACGGUUUCAUCAAAAUAACCAUCAUGUAUUGGCAGCCAGAACUUUUGAUACACUUUGGAAUCUCUUUGAAUCUCGCUUUUGCACCUACUUGUUAAGCACUUCCAAACUAAACUUUUAAGAGCUUUGGUGUUCCCAUUCCCACAGUCAAACUUGCUCCCGCUUCACAUGAUUUAGAUUGACAUUCACCCAAAAUAUUGACUUUGGCAAACAUUUUUCACAAUCCUCUUCCCAUUUGAAUACUCUCAUUCAUUCAUAAUAUGAACACAAAGCGUUCUAAGAACCAUUUAACUUUGGCAUCUGACUUUGGCAAACACCGGAUAUACUUGUCUCCAAAUACCAUCCUGAUAUUGAGGCACCUCUUUAGCCAUCACGAGCAAGUUUUAACUCAACCUCAUAUCAACAAAAACCUAUGGAUGACAAAAGCAACAAUCAUUCCUAGACAUUUCUAGCACUAGUUGUAAACAAUCUGUCAACGAUCAUAGAAACCACCAUCAAUUGCUUAUUCACCACUUGUUUCUCUUCACUCAUCACACCCCAUAACAAGCACAGAUUUCUUAUUCUUGCCAAGACCCUCUUCAUCAUCCAUCUCUCAUAAUUCCAAAGCAUAGAAAUUGUAUGACCAAUGAAUCUAUCCCAAUUCCGGAAGUUAUUCUGGGGUUCCAUCAAUGCAUUUAAUUACAGAUUUUACUUUAGGUUUGUCAGGCAGUAUAAUGGAUCCAAAAGUAUGCUACAUUCCCCUUACAGCUGAAUGUCGUUUCUUAUUAAUGUCCUUAGUUUCCAUUUAACAUCAUCAGAGAAUUAAACACCAAUAAUCUGGAUUUAUUGAGUGCAAGGAAACAUUUGAAAGAUAUGCCACCAAUAAUAUUUUAUUCAAGGCAAUGUUGCAUGUGAGAAACAGCUUUUCAAAGUAACAACACAGCAUAAACAUAAGGCUAGAUAUGUCAUUAUAUCAACAUACAUAAAAUAAACAAGAAAUUUCAUUGAUAACAAUGAUUAAAGCAGCCUUUCAAUAGAAAUCAUAUUUAGGUAAACAAAAAUAAGAAUGAGGUAUCCAUCACUCACCAAGGAUGUUGCUCUCAGAUGAAACUAGCCAGUAAUGCAUGCAAUGCAACCCAAUAUAUCAAAAAGCCAAGCCGUAAGGUAGGUUGUCUCAUAAGCAGUCUUUCCCCUGACACCCUGGUAGAUUAACAAGGAAAACUGUCCGUUCAGUAACAUAUUCAAGAAAAUCAUCUCAAAAUGAAGGAAAUUGUUAAAAAAAUAUGCCCACCAUAUCCCAUCAAUCCUGUCUGCUAGAGGUCGAGUAGCUCUUGGAACAAAGCGAGACAUAGUAAGUGACUUGAAGCCAUGUGCUUAAGUGGGGAACAAUCAAAACAAAAUUAAUGUUAAUAACAUUUAUCGCGAAAAGGAAAAAUAAUUUGAGCAUUGAAACAAGUGAAAAAAACAGGAUAGAAGAACCAAAGUCACCUUUAUCAUCGUCCUCAUCAGCUAAUACAUUAUCAUCAUUCUCUGUAUCUAUAGCUAUGGCUAUUUGAUCAUUAUUGACCUUGCGCCCACUGCGGACAUGCGUAACAACUGCACCUGAGCUUACUUUGUUUUUCUGUGCCAAAAGAAAAUUAAAAACAAAAAAAGUCAAAUGAUCAUCAAAACUAAAAACAGAUUAUAAAUGAAGCAUGAAAGCCAACACAGAAAAGAUAUCCCCCCACCCCCCCCCCCACCCCAAAAAAAAUCCCUCUGAUUUUACUACACAAAAAGUACUACUUUAUCAAUAAAAUGUCACUGAAAAUUUAUCUCAAAUAGCACAACAGUGCAAGGAUCAAGAAUAUGAUAAUUUCAAGAGGAAACCACUCAAAUUCUUUGAAGGCACCAAUGUUCUCUAAUCUAUGUUGCAACAAGUCCAGCUAAUAAAGUCACACUCAAUGGAGAACUUUUGAAUAGAUAUGGCUAAAUUUUUUUUAACACUACUUCUGAGAAGAACAUUCAAAUAAUGGAUAAAGAAGAGCUGGAUAGUGCAAGUACAAAGUUAUACAUCUAGACUUACCAUUCGUUCUAUCUCCCGAGACUGUGGGGAGUUCAUGAUAGGAAGCUGACCAGUAUGGGUACCUUCUUGAAAAACCUCUAUCUGUGUUUCCUUCUCACGCAAAGAAUUCUCAAGAACUUCAGAUUUACAUGAUAACUCUUCCACUCUAGCCCUUUCAAUUUGUAACAAAGCAUCUUUGCUUUUAACUGUUACCCGUAGAUCAUCUAAUUCAGCCAUAACAGAUAAAAUUUUCUUUUCCAGGACAUCAGUGUAAAUACGGAUUUGACUGAACUCCUGAUCAUCAACAGCCACGUGCUGUAACCCAAAACGUGAUAAUAUCAUAUCAAACCAUUUUAACAACUCACAUAUUUCAGAUGAGUACUUCUUGUAAGUCUCCUGUGAGGCCAGAAGGUCAUUGGUGCACCUAGUUACCUCCUGACGCAAGAAUGAGAUUUCUGAAUCCUGCCCUUGCAAUUGGAACUGAAGAUUUUCCACCUCUUCAAGAAGGCUCUCUGACAGGCUGUGCAACUCAUCAAACUUGCUGACAGUUGUUGAAAGCUUUGCCACAGCCUUCGCCUGAGAAGCUUCAAGACUCUCCAAUGCUAGGUUCUUUUCUUGAACUAUAUUCUCCAGUUCCUUGUUCCUGCUUUCCAGGUCCUCCAUCUGUGUCUCUUCUUCAUCAAGCGCUUGCAUGAGGGCUUCAAUUUCUGUAUUGGAAGAGAGAGAGAAAAAAAUACUCUAAGAUUGAUAGAAAGGCUUCACAUGUAUCACCUCAAACACA
rnacentral:lncRNA from 1 species